rnacentral:tRNA from 1 species
CGGGGCGUGGCGCAGUCCGGCUUAGCGCGCCUGGUUUGGGACCAGGAGGUCCUCGGUUCGAAUCCGAGCGCCCCGA